CCUACGGGCGGCAGCAGUGGGGAAUAUUGGACAAUGGGGGCAACCCUGAUCCAGCCAUGCCGCGUGUGUGAAGAAGGCCCUCGUGUUGUAAAGCACUUUCAGUGAGGAAGAACGCCUGGUGGUUAAUACCCAUCAGGAAAGACAUCACUCACAGAAGAAGCACCGGCUAACUCCGUGCCAGCAGCCGCGGUAAUACGGAGGGUGCGAGCGUUGAUCGGAAUUACUGGGCGUAAAGCGCGCGUAGGUGGCUUGAUAAGCCGGUUGUGAAAGCCCCGGGCUCAACCUGGGAACGGCAUCCGGAACUGUCAAGCUAGAGUGCAGGAGAGGAAGGUAGAAUUCCCGGUGUAGCGGUGAAAUGCGUAGAGAUCGGGAGGAAUACCAGUGGCGAAGGCGGCCUUCUGGACUGACACUGACACUGAGGUGCGAAAGCGUGGGUAGCAAACAGGAUUAGAUACCCGUGUAGUC
rnacentral:rRNA from 1 species